AUUUGGAGUGAUUUGCCUCUUUCUUUGGUCUUUCUUUACCCUCCAUGACCAGGGACCAGCUUCAGGGUUCACUUGGGGAGCUCCUGAGGUUGUGAGCCAGCAGUGCCCUUCAGGAGUGCAGACAACCAAAGAAUAGAAAUGUUUCCAUUGUCUCCCCUCUGCUUUUUCAUCUCCCCCAUUACCUGACACAUUCCAAGGUGUUGAUAUCAAUCAUGUAAGUGAUAACUAUUGCUUUUCCUUCUUCCUAAUGAAAGAGAAAUAGCAGUAUAUAUUAUUUAAAUAUGAACAAUGUUUGC
rnacentral:lncRNA from 1 species